UCGGAUUGCAGGCUGAAACCCGCCUGUAUGAAGUUGGAAUCGCUAGUAAUCGCGGAUCAGCAUGCCGCGGUGAAUACGUUCCCGGGCCUUGUACACACCGCCCGUCACACCAUGAGAGUCGGGAACACCCGAAGUCCGUAGCCUAACCGCAAGGGGGCGCGGCCGAAGGUGGGUUCGAUAAUUGGGGUGAAGUCGUAACAAGGUAGC
rnacentral:rRNA from 1 species